rnacentral:lncRNA from 1 species
UAUAGACCAAAAAAGUAACAGAAUUUAACCCCAGGCCCAACAGAUAACCGCUCAAUGUCCCAUUUAACCGCUCAACGGUUUCCUUCUCGUCGCGCCACCGCUCAGCGGUCAAUUUAACCGCUGAGCGGUUUGCCUCUAAUCGCUCCAGCCGCUCAACGUUGGAUUUGGCCGCUAAGCGGUUCACCUAACUCUUCUUUUCAUC